rnacentral:lncRNA from 1 species
AUGGGUCAAAAUCAGGACGGUGGCCAUUGUCCUGAGUGUGAUGGUAAUAAGGAAGACAAGGACAGGAAAAAGAACUUGGAACCCUCCAUACCAACUAGAGGUGGGGAGAGAAAACAAAGAUGCUGCCAGCAAACUACCUCUGGUGAUGGCUCACAUUCAGCUGCAGAAAACUACUGAAGUCAGAGAGGAUUAAAGACUGAUUCCUGUGGAGGAAGAGCUCAUUAGAAAUCAGGAACAGACAAACUAUUAGAAGAAAAACAAGAACAGGGAAGAUAGAAAGUAGAUGAUCUCAGGGGUCCCCAAUGUCUGUAGGGAAGCUGCAGAAGACCAGUGAUGAUGAUCACACCAUUGUGUCUACACCUGUGGGCUCAGAACACUAUGUCGGCAUCCGUUUGCUAUUGGACAAUGAUCUCCUGGGACCAGGAUCUUCAGUCUUCCUGCUCAGUCACAAGAUGUAUUUGUGAUAAGGAUGCUGAUGGAUGAUGCAGAGCCCCUGGUCACAGUGACAAAGAAGGAAAAGGCCCCUCAGGAGAUUCAUGAAGAGGUUGGUGCCUUGGACAAGUAAAUCCAGGAGAUUAUGGAAUCUGUGGGGCUCCAUAUUACCCAUCCUGAGUAUUACAAAGAGAUAGGAAUAUUGUUCUCUCAGGGAUCAUUCACUAUGGUGAGCUGGGUACAGGUAAGCCCUUGUUGGACAAAGUAGUAGUGAGCCAAACUUGGAUCCUCUCUUCAAAGUGGUUGGCUCAGGAACUACUUCAAAAGUACCUGUGUGACAGGCAAAUACUCACACGGGAACUGUUUUGAGUUGUUGAAGAGCAUACACUACCCAUAGUGUUUAUUGACGGCAUUGGGGCCAAAAGAUAGAAUUUAAACUGUGGAGUUGAGGAAGAAAUUCAGAGAACAGCGUUGGAAUGGCUGAACCAAUCGGAUGAUUUGAUUUAAGAGGAGAUGGGAAAGUUAUAGUCACAAAACAAAUUAAAACUUUGGAUCCAGCUCUUUUAAAGCCACUAAUGGUAUGAUCAAGUUCCCCUUGCUUGAUGCAAAGACUAAGAUUAACAUCUUCUAGAUUCACACAAGCAGGGAUGACGCUGAGCAAUGACAUAACUUUGGAGGACUUGCUCGUGGCAUAAAACAGCCUCUCUGGGGCCAAUAUCAAUAUAAGUAAUCUGUACCAAAGGUUUGAUGAGAAUUUAGAGUAGAGGCAACAAAUAAAGAUUGCCCCCUAGAAGAAUCUAAAAAGUGUUCUUUAUGAAGAACAAGAAGGCAUGUCUGAGGGGUUCUACCU